GAUGAACGCUGGCGGCGUGCCUAAUACAUGCAAGUCGAGCGAACAGAUAAGGAGCUUGCUCCUUUGACGUUAGCGGCGGACGGGUGAGUAACACGUGGGUAACCUACCUAUAAGACUGGGAUAACUUCGGGAAACCGGAGCUAAUACCGGAUAACAUUUGGAACCGCAUGGUUCUAAAGUGAAAGAUGGUUUUGCUAUCACUUAUAGAUGGACCCGCGCCGUAUUAGCUAGUUGGUAAGGUAACGGCUUACCAAGGCGACGAUACGUAGCCGACCUGAGAGGGUGAUCGGCCACACUGGAACUGAGACACGGUCCAGACUCCUACGGGAGGCAGCAGUAGGGAAUCUUCCGCAAUGGGCGAAAGCCUGACGGAGCAACGCCGCGUGAGUGAUGAAGGGUUUCGGCUCGUAAAACUCUGUUAUUAGGGAAGAACUAAUGUGUAAGUAACUGUGCACGUCUUGACGGUACCUAAUCAGAAAGCCACGGCUAACUACGUG
rnacentral:rRNA from 1 species